rnacentral:rRNA from 1 species
UACGUAGGGGGCAAGCGUUGUCCGGAUUUAUUGGGCGUAAAGAGCGUGUAGGCGGCUAGAUAGGUCCGUUGUGAAAACUCGAGGCUCAACCUCGAGAUGUCGAUGGAAACCGUCUGGCUAGAGUCCGGAAGAGGAGUGUGGAAUUCCUGGUGUAGCGGUGAAAUGCGCAGAUAUCAGGAAGAACACCUAUGGCGAAGGCAGCACUCUGGGACGGUACUGACGCUGAGACGCGAAAGCGUGGGGAGCGAACAGG